rnacentral:sRNA from 1 species
AUAUUAAUAACGCUGAAUCAAAUUGAGCGGGAGAACCGAUUUUUAGGGGUGAAUCUUAUCAUUAUGAUACGUAGGGUUAAUUUCUUCAACCCGAAUCCGUCAGCUAAUCUCGUAAGCGUUGAAGAGAAGUUUU